GAUGAACGCUAGCUACAGGCUUAACACAUGCAAGUCGAGGGGUAACAAGAGGAAAGCUUGCUUUUCCUGUUGACGACCGGCGCACGGGUGAGUAACGCGUAUCCAACCUGCCUAUAACUAGGGAAUAACCUUGCGAAAGUAAGACUAAUACCCUAUGAUUUCCUUUGAUGGCAUCAGAUUAGGAAUAAAGAUUUAUCGGUUAUAGAUGGGGAUGCGUCUGAUUAGCUUGUUGGCGGGGUAACGGCCCACCAAGGCAACGAUCAGUAGGGGUUCUGAGAGGAAGGUCCCCCACAUUGGAACUGAGGCACGGUCCAAACUCCUACGGGAGGCAGCAGUGAGGAAUAUUGGUCAAUGGGCGGAAGCCUGAACCAGCCAAGUAGCGUGCAGGAUGACGGCCCUAUGGGUUGUAAACUGCUUUUAUACAGGAAUAAAGUUAGCCACGUGUGGUUAUUUGUAGGUACUGUAUGAAUAAGGACCGGCUAAUUCCGUGCCAGCAGCCGCCGUAA
rnacentral:rRNA from 1 species